GAUGAACGCUGGCGGCGUGCCUAAUACAUGCAAGUCGAGCGAACAGAUGAGGAGCUUGCUCCUCUGACGUUAGCGGCGGACGGGUGAGUAACACGUGGAUAACCUACCUAUAAGACUGGGAUAACUUCGGGAAACCGGAGCUAAUACCGGAUAAUAUAUUGAACCGCAUGGUUCAAUAGUGAAAGACGGUUUUGCUGUCACUUAUAGAUGGAUCCGCGCCGCAUUAGCUAGUUGGUAAGGUAACGGCUUACCAAGGCAACGAUGCGUAGCCGACCUGAGAGGGUGAUCGGCCACACUGGAACUGAGACACGGUCCAGACUCCUACGGGAGGCAGCAGUAGGGAAUCUUCCGCAAUGGGCGAAAGCCUGACGGAGCAACGCCGCGUGAGUGAUGAAGGUCUUCGGAUCGUAAAACUCUGUUAGUGGGGAAGAACAAAUGUGUAAGUAACUAUGCACGUCUUGACGGUACCUAAUCAGAAAGCCACGGCUAACUACGUG
rnacentral:rRNA from 1 species